rnacentral:rRNA from 1 species
GACGAACGCUGGCGGCGUGCUUAACACAUGCAAGUCGAACGGAAAGGCCCUGCUUUUGUGGGGUGCUCGAGUGGCGAACGGGUGAGUAACACGUGAGUAACCUGCCCUUGACUUUGGGAUAACUUCAGGAAACUGGGGCUAAUACCGGAUAGGAGCUCCUGCUGCAUGGUGGGGGUUGGAAAGUUUCGGCGGUUGGGGAUGGACUCGCGGCUUAUCAGCUUGUUGGUGGGGUAGUGGCUUACCAAGGCUUUGACGGGUAGCCGGCCUGAGAGGGUGACCGGCCACAUUGGGACUGAGAUACGGCCCAGACUCCUACGGGAGGCAGCAGUGGGGAAUAUUGCACAAUGGGCGGAAGCCUGAUGCAGCAACGCCGCGUGCGGGAUGACGGCCUUCGGGUUGUAAACCGCUUUCGCCUGUGACGAAGCGUGAGUGACGGUAAUGGGUAAAGAAGCACCGGCUAACUACGUGCCAGCAGCCGCGGUGAUACGUAGGGUGCGAGCGUUGUCCGGAUUUAUUGGGCGUAAAGGGCUCGUAGGUGGUUGAUCGCGUCGGAAGUGUAAUCUUGGGGCUUAACCCUGAGCGUGCUUUCGAUACGGGUUGACUUGAGGAAGGUAGGGGAGAAUGGAAUUCCUGGUGGAGCGGUGGAAUGCGCAGAUAUCAGGAGGAACACCAGUGGCGAAGGCGGUUCUCUGGGCCUUUCCUGACGCUGAGGAGCGAAAGCGUGGGGAGCGAACAGGCUUAGAUACCCUGGUAGUCCACGCUGUAAACGGUGGGUACUAGGUGUGGGGUCCAUUCCACGGGUUCCGUGCCGUAGCUAACGCUUUAAGUACCCCGCCUGGGGAGUACGGCCGCAAGGCUAAAACUCAAAGGAAUUGACGGGGCCCCGCACAAGCGGCGGAGCAUGCGGAUUAAUUCGAUGCAACGCGUAGAACCUUACCUGGGUUUGACAUGGAUCGGGAGUGCUCAGAGAUGGGUGUGCCUCUUUUGGGGUCGGUUCACAGGUGGUGCAUGGCUGUCGUCAGCUCGUGUCGUGAGAUGUUGGGUUAAGUCCCGCAACGAGCGCAACCCUUGUUCACUGUUGCCAGCACGUUAUGGUGGGGACUCAGUGGAGACCGCCGGGGUCAACUCGGAGGAGGGUGGGGAUGACGUCAAGUCAUCAUGCCCCUUAUGUCCAGGGCUUCACGCAUGCUACAAUGGCUGGUACAGAGAGUGGCGAGCCUGUGAGGGUGAGCGAAUCUCGGAAAGCCGGUCUCAGUUCGGAUUGGGGUCUGCAACUCGACCUCAUGAAGUCGGAGUCGCUAGUAAUCGCAGAUCAGCAACGCUGCGGUGAAUACGUUCCCGGGGCU